ACGAACCUUCGGGUUAGUGGCGGACGGGUGAGUAACGCGUGACAAUCUGCCCUCAGGAGGGGGAUAACGGCUGGAAACGGCCGCUAAUACCCCAUAUGCCGAGAGGUGAAAUGAAUUUCGCCUGAGGAUGAGCUCGCGUCUGAUUAGCUAGUUGGUGUGGUAAAGGCUCACCAAGGCAUCGAUCAGUAGCUGGUCUGAGAGGAUGAUCAGCCACACUGGGACUGAGACACGGCCCAGACCCCUACGGGAGGCAGCAGUGGGGAAUUUUCCGCAAUGGGCGAAAGCCUGACGGAGCAACGCCGCGUGAGGGAUGAAGGCCUCUGGGCUGUAAACCUCUUUUAUCAAGGAAGAAGAUCUGACGGUACUUGAUGAAUAAGCCACGGCUAAUUCCGUGCCAGCAGCCGCGGUAAUACGGGAGUGGCAAGCGUUAUCCGGAAUUAUUGGGCGUAAAGCGUCCGCAGGCGGUCUUGUAAGUCUGUCGUUAAAGCGUGGAGCUUAACUCCAUUUCGGCGGUGGAAACUACAAGACUAGAGUGUGGUAGGGGCAGAGGGAAUUCCCGGUGUAGCGGUGAAAUGCGUAGAUAUCGGGAAGAACACCAGUGGCGAAGGCGCUCUGCUGGACCAUAACUGACGCUCAUGGACGAAAGCCAGGGGAGCGAAAGGGAUUAGAUACCCCUGUAGUCCUGGCCGUAAACGAUGAACACUAGGUGUCGGGGGAAUCGACCCCCUCGGUGUCGUAGCCAACGCGUUAAGUGUUCCGCCUGGGGAGUACGCACGCAAGUGUGAAACUCAAAGGAAUUGACGGGGGCCCCCACAGCGGUGGAGU
rnacentral:rRNA from 1 species